rnacentral:rRNA from 1 species
AGAGUUUGAUCAUGGCUCAGGAUGAACGCUAGCUACAGGCUUAACACAUGCAAGUCGAGGGGAAACGAUAUUGGAAGCUUGCUUCCGAUAGGCGUCGACCGGCGCACGGGUGAGUAACGCGUAUCCAACCUGCCCAUCACUUGGGGAUAACCUUGCGAAAGUAAGACUAAUACCCAAUGACGUCUCUAGAAGACAUCUGAAGGAGAUUAAAGAUUUAUCGGUGAUGGAUGGGGAUGCGUCUGAUUAGCUUGUUGGCGGGGUAACGGCCCACCAAGGCAACGAUCAGUAGGGGUUCUGAGAGGAAGGUCCCCCACAUUGGAACUGAGACACGGUCCAAACUCCUACGGGAGGCAGCAGUGAGGAAUAUUGGUCAAUGGGCGAGAGCCUGAACCAGCCAAGUAGCGUGCAGGAAGACGGCCCUAUGGGUUGUAAACUGCUUUUAUAAGGGAAUAAAGUUAGUCUCGUGAGACUUUUUGCAUGUACCUUAUGAAUAAGGACCGGCUAAUUCCGUGCCAGCAGCCGCGGUAAUACGGAAGGUCCGGGCGUUAUCCGGAUUUAUUGGGUUUAAAGGGAGCGUAGGCCGGAGAUUAAGCGUGUUGUGAAAUGUAGACGCUCAACGUCUGCACUGCAGCGCGAACUGGUUUCCUUGAGUACGCACAAAGUGGGCGGAAUUCGUGGUGUAGCGGUGAAAUGCUUAGAUAUCACGAAGAACUCCGAUUGCGAAGGCAGCUCACUGGAGCGCAACUGACGCUGAAGCUCGAAAGUGCGGGUAUCGAACAGGAUUAGAUACCCUGGUAGUCCGCACGGUAAACGAUGGAUGCCCGCUGUUGGUCUGAACAGGUCAGCGGCCAAGCGAAAGCAUUAAGCAUCCCACCUGGGGAGUACGCCGGCAACGGUGAAACUCAAAGGAAUUGACGGGGGCCCGCACAAGCAGUGGAGUAUGUGGUUUAAUUCGAAGCAACGCGAAGAACCUUACCAGGUCUUGACAUCGAGUGCAUAACUAAGAGAUUAGUGAAAUCCCUUCGGGGACACUUAGACAGGUGGCGCAUGGUUGUCGUCAGCUCGUGUCGUGAGAUGUUGGGUUAAGUCCCGCAACGAGCGCAACCCUUACCUUUAGUUGCUACGCAAGAGCACUCUAAAGGGACUGCCGUUGACAAAACGGAGGAAGGUGGGGAUGACGUCAAAUCAUCAUGCCCCUUAUGACCUGGGCUACACACGUACUACAAUGGCAAUCAACAAAGAGAAGCAAGACAGUGAUGUGGAGCAAAUCUCAAAAAAUUGUCCCAGUUCAGAUUGUAGGCUGCAACUCGCCUACAUGAAGUCGGAAUUGCUAGUAAUCGCGGAUCAGAAUGCCGCGGUGAAUACGUUCCCGGGCCUUGUACACACCGCCCGUCACACCAUGGGAGUCGGUAACACCCGAAGUCGGUAGUCUAACAGCAAUGAGGACGCCGCCGAAGGUGGGAUUGAUGACUGGGGUGAAGUCGUAACAAGGUA